rnacentral:rRNA from 1 species
GACGAACCGUCCAAACGUUGUUCGGAAUUACUGGGCGUAAAGCGCACGUAGGCGGCUUUGUAAGUUAGAGGUGAAAGCCCGGAGCUCAACUCCGGAACUGCCUUUAAGACUGCAUCGCUUGAACGUCGGAGAGGUAAGUGGAAUUCCGAGUGUAGAGGUGAAAUUCGUAGAUAUUCGGAAGAACACCAGUGGCGAAGGCGACUUACUGGACGACUGUUGACGCUGAGGUGCGAAAGCGUGGGGAGCAAACAGG